UAUUCCCACCUCCUAUUUCAUCAUUGUCCAGUAGUGUGAGCAACCAUGCUUCCUACUUGGGCUGCCAGUGACCUUCUCACUCCCUGUUCCACAGAUGUUGUCAAGGACUUGAAACAGAUACACAGGACAAAAGAACAUUGGGAGUAACACAUCUUGAUUUCUUGGGGUAACCACUUGGCUGACAGACAUACCCAAGCAUCAUUUGCUGACAACAACCUACUCCAAAUGACUAUGACACCUGAACUUUCUGAAAUCUAAUACGAACCAGUCCAGCCUAUAUAAACGCCAUCUCUUCAGCUGGUCAAUAAACCAGAUGCUUCUUUA